GGUUGGUUACUUCAGUUGGUUAGAGCGUCGUACUAAUAUUAUGAGAGAUCGUAAUAUCGGUGAUGCGAAGGUCAUGAGUUCGACCCUCAUACUGACCA